rnacentral:rRNA from 1 species
CCCGCACAAGCGGUGGAGCAUGUGGUUUAAUCGAAGCAACGCGAAGAACCUUACCAGGUCUUGACAUCCCGAUGCUAUUUCUAGAGAUAGAAAGUUACUUCGGUACAUCGGUGACAGGUGGUGCAUGGUUGUCGUCAGCUCGUGUCGUGAGAUGUUGGGUUAAGUCCCGCAACGAGCGCAACCCCUAUUGUUAGUUGCCAUCAUUCAGUUGGGCACUCUAGCGAGACUGCCGGUAAUAAACCGGAGGAAGGUGGGGAUGACGUCAAAUCAUCAUGCCCCUUAUGACCUGGGCUACACACGUAAUACAAUGGCGGUCAACAGAGGGAAGCGACGCCGCGAGGCCGAGCGAAUCCUCAAAAGCCGUCUCAGUUCGGAUUGCAGGCUGCAACUCGCCUGCAUGAAGUCGGAAUUGCUAGUAAUCGCGGAUCAGCACGCCGCGGUGAAUACGUUCCCGGGCCUU